rnacentral:lncRNA from 1 species
UGGGCAAUCACGCCUGAAGUACUCUAACACCUUGCACUUGUAACAUCUGACUUCCUUCUUGCCCUUCCGGGACUUAGAUCAUUCCAUAGACUUGCUCCUAUCCCUACCUCUUCCAGAUCUCCCCUCAAUGAGUAAACCUUCAUGGGGAGCUCCAUCCUUGGUGAUCCUCUCAUGCUGUUCAUUGGAUCUGAGUACGGAGACAAUAUUUUCAUAGAAUAGAGUCUCCUUCCCAUACAACAAUGUAGUCACCAAUAAAUCAAAUAAAGAAGGCAGCGAG